rnacentral:rRNA from 1 species
AGCGAACGCUGGCGGCAGGCUUAACACAUGCAAGUCGAGCGGGCACUUCGGUGUCAGCGGCAGACGGGUGAGUAACACGUGGGAACGUACCCUUCGGUUCGGAAUAACGCUGGGAAACUAGCGCUAAUACCGGAUACGCCCUUUUGGGGGAAGGUUUACUGCCGAAGGAUCGGCCCGCGUCUGAUUAGCUAGUUGGUGGGGUAAUGGCCUACCAAGGCGACGAUCAGUAGCUGGUCUGAGAGGAUGAUCAGCCACACUGGGACUGAGACACGGCCCAGACUCCUACGGGAGGCAGCAGUGGGGAAUAUUGGACAAUGGGCGCAAGCCUGAUCCAGCCAUGCCGCGUGAGUGAUGAAGGCCUUAGGGUUGUAAAGCUCUUUUGUCCGGGACGAUAAUGACGGUACCGGAAGAAUAAGCCCCGGCUAACUUCGU